CUGUUUUUGACCAGUAGAGGCAUUUCAUACUCAGCUAUGUUAGACUUAAAUACCCUUCAUCCAAAGGUACUAGAUGGUUUCUUCCUGGAAAAACAAAUGGAACGUAAGUUGAUGGAGUGUGAUAUCACUGAUUGGAAGUGGCCAGAAGAGAGCUGGGAAGAACUUGACAGGCAGUUCUGCAUACUGGAACUCAUCUGUGUGAAUUUGUUUCAGCUGCCACCCAAUCUUCAGAAGAUAUAUGAAAGUGACAAUUUACCCAAAGAAAGGAGAUCAGUGAGUUUUUAUCUGCACUGACUAUAUACUUUUCUGAAACUGUAUAAUUUACUGAAAUCCCCAAAGAGACAAUGUUCUAUUUCCCUAUCAGAGCAGGCUGGCCUCUGCUGAACAAUCCAGGUAUUAAACUCUUGGUGACCAGUAACUGGUGCCACAAACAAAAAGCUGUGUGGCUCAAUCAAGUGCAAGCCGUUGAAAACAUGAGUGUCUUUUUUUUUUUUAACAUGAGGGUCAGCUCACAGAACAGCUGAAUUUUUUCCUUGGCAUUUUAGUAACUUUGACUUAACCAUUUCAAUUAAUCCUUUAAAGUAAAUGGAGAUAUUCGGGAAGACAAAAAUCCUGCAAUUUAUAAGAAAAAUGCAUUUCCUGAAAUGUUUUAAAAUGGUGACUAAUUAUAGGAUGUUUUUAUUUCUUUUUUAACAUAACACUACUAAGCAAUAUUAUAUCAAGCUGUCACAUUUUGAGUUGCAUCUUCUUCAUAUGGCUGAACUACCAGCAAUGUAUGUACCAUAUGCACUGUACAUGGUUAACUCUUGAUUUUCUAUUGUUCGGUGGGGUAGGAAACCUAUGUAGAGUAAUGAUGUGACCAGUCCCCAGAAAAAAAAUACCAAAACACAACAAAACACUGUAAAUCAGGCUGCUUAAUGUAGAUAGACUAAGGAACAACCAAAAAGGAAACACAGAAUGAAUGGCAGAUCCUGAUAUAUGUGUAUAUUCUAAAACGUAUUGAUCUACUGCUGAAGUCAGAAAACAGGAAAGACAAAAAGGCUGCAUUUGAUAUUGUAUAUUGUACUUCACUGAACAUUUGCAUGAAAAAUAGUUUUUUUGUUUUGUUUUGUUUGUUUUCCCAGUGAUUAACAAAUGUGUACUUUAAAAAUAUUUUUCUGUGUAUCUUGGUGAUUAUUUUGAUGAUUAUUUUGAUGAUUAUAUAUUCCCCAUUCAGAUGUAAGAGCUAUUCUAAUAUCAGGAAGAAAAGACAACAUAGAUGACAGACUUGUAUCCACUGUGGAGAUAAUAAAAAAAUCAGAAGCAUCUGCGUAAUACAAACAUAUUGCUUACAGACAACUAAAGAAAGUGUAAGUGCAACAUAUUCUUAAAUACUGUUGAGAAAUUGUUGAAUGUAUUUUUAUGUAAUUCUCUAGCUUUCAUCCAUUGCCAUCUCCAUUGUGGUGUAUGAUAGGCCUCUGACAUACAUCUACAGCCAUCAAGAUUUGUUACUCUGAUCAGCGUAUAAACAGAUCUCCCCAACUCCCAUCAGCUGAAGUUAAGUAUCAUUGUGAAUCACAGGUAUUCUGUUAACAGAUAACAACAAAAAUGAAUCAGAGUGAAACCCUUCACUUUAUGCUGUUAAAGCUAACAGGUCUGAAAUUAAAGAUAAUUACAUAUUAAAAUAGAGUGGGUAGCUCUGUUUUGAUUUAGAGAUACGAACAUGUCAGGCAAGCUUGUCUGCAACAGGAGAGAUUCAGUGCCCCGAAGUGAUGGAAGAGAAGAGCCCAAGAGAGCAUUCCUUGCAUUCCUGUGGCACUCGGCGCGUACAUAUGGCCCACAAAAAAAGAAAAUCUUAGCACUCCGGGUUGGUAUGCUGAUCUUCAGAAAAGCUGGUACUUCCAUGUAGCUGCAGGCUUGAUGAGUUUGAAGAAAUGAUACUCACUGGAUGAUGAAUGUGAGGCAUAUUUAAAACUUAUUUUUCAGGGCAAAGGACAUUUUAUGUCCAAUGCUAGUUAAAAAUAAAAUUAUUCCCCAUAAGGACUACUAAUAAGCAACCAGAGGCAAAAUAUAGCUGGGAUGUGGAGCUCUCCCUGUUUCCCGUGGUCUGCCCAGAAUUAUACCCCACAUACGAGUGGGCUUAGCCCAGAGAGUUAUCUUCGUUAACGAACCAAAAGCAGGUUUCAUUCAAGAGGUUUAGUAGACUACUAUUUGAGGACACGGCCUGCUUGAGAGUCAUCCGUGUCUAAAAGCAUACGGCUUUGUCUCCUGAGACAAGAAGUGUUUGUCAUGCAAGACAAAAACUGUUCUCCCUAUGAACGUUCGUUGUUUUUCACAAAUAAAAAUAAAAACAAACGUGCUACCUUACAAUAAAAAUGUGCAAACCC
rnacentral:lncRNA from 1 species